GGAGGGGUGGCCGAGUGGUUGAAGGCGCUCGCCUGGAAAGCGGGUAUACGUCAAAAGCGUAUCGUGAGUUCGAAUCUCAUCCCCUCCG
rnacentral:tRNA from 3 species